GCUCAACCGGGGAGGGUCAUUGGAAACAGGGGAACUUGAGUGCAGAAGAGGAGAGUGGAAUUCCACGUGUAGCGGUGAAAAGCGUAGAGAUGUGGAGGAACACCAGUGGCGAAGGCGACUCUCUGGUCUGUAACUGACGCUGAGGCGCGAAAGCGUGGGGAGCGAACAGGAUUAGAUACCCUGGUAGUCCACGCCGUAAACGAUGAGUGCUAAGUGUUAGAGGGUUUCCGCCCUUUAGUGCUGCAGCAAACGCAUUAAGCACUCCGCCUGGGGAGUACGGUCGCAAGACUGAAACUCAAAGGAAUUGACGGGGGCCCGCACAAGCGGUGGAGCAUGUGGUUUAAUUCGAAGCAACGCGAAGAACCUUACCAGGUCUUGACAUCCUCUGACAACCCUAGAGAUAGGGCUUCCCCUUCGGGGGCAGAGUGACAGGUGGUGCAUGGUUGUCGUCAGCUCGUGUCGUGAGAUGUUGGGUUAAGUCCCGCAACGAGCGCAACCCUUGAUCUUAGUUGCCAGCAUUCAGUUGGGCACUCUAAGGUGACUGCCGGUGACAAACCGGAGGAAGGUGGGGAUGACGUCAAAUCAUCAUGCCCCUUAUGACCUGGGCUACACACGUGCUACAAUGGGCAGAACAAAG
rnacentral:rRNA from 1 species